UUGAUCCUGCCGGACCUGACUGCUAUCAGGGUGGGACUAAGCCAUGCGAGUCGAACGUCCCCAGCUGCGGGGGCGUGGCGGACGGCUCAGUAACACGUAGUCAACCUGUCCUAGGGAUGUGGAUAACCCCGGGAAACUGGGAUUAAUCCGCAAUAGGUCAAGACUUCUGGAAGGGGUCUUGACCGAAAGGGGUAGAUCAGCAUGCUUGAUCUACCCGCCCUAGGGUGGGACUGCGGCCGAUCAGGUAGUUGGUGGUGUAAUGGACCACCAAGCCUAUAACCGGUACGGGCUCUGAGAGGAGGAGCCCGGAGAUGGGCACUGAGAUAAGGGCCCAGGCCCUAUGGGGCGCAGCAGGCGCGAAACCUUCGCAAUGCGCGAAAGCGUGACGAGGCUACCCUGAGUGCCAUCCGCUGAGGAUGGCUUUUCCCAGGUGUAAAAAGCCUGGGGAAUAAGGGGAGGGCAAGUCUGGUGUCAGCCGCCGCGGUAAUACCAGCUCCCCGAGUGGUCAGGACGAUUAUUUGGCCUAAAGCAUCCGUAGCCGGCCUAGUAGGUCCUCUGUUAAAUCCACUGACCCAAUCAGUGGGCUGCAGAGGAUACCGCUAGGCUAGGGGGCGGGAGAGGCCGACGGUACUCCGUGGGUAGGGGUAAAAUCCUAUAAUCCACGGAAGACCACCAGUGGCGAAGGCGGUCGGCCAGAACGCGCCCGACGGUGAGGGAUGAAAGCUGGGGGAGCGAACCGGAUUAGAUACCCGGGUAGUCCCAGCUGUAAACGAUGCAGGCUAGGUGCUGGAAUGGCUACGGGCUAUUCCAGUGCCGCAGGGAAGCCGUUAAGCCUGCCGCCUGGGGAGUACGGCCGCAAGGCUGAAACUUAAAGGAAUUGGCGGGGGAGCACCACAAGGGGUGAAGCCUGCGGUUUAAUUGGAGUCAACGCCGGG
rnacentral:rRNA from 1 species